CGCUGGGACGCAGGAAGGCCGUCCAGCUGUUCGGCGGGGAGAUUAGAGCAUGUCCUGUCAUUGUCUCCCUGGCAACAACAUCUGCACAGGAAGGCAAACAUCUGCCCUCUCAGCAACCCCGACCAGACUCCAGCGCAACACCCAACAGGCAGCACUCAACUAAAGUUCAGAUCACAGAAGUGGACUGACUGCUGCAGCACACUAGACUCUACAGGACGGAGAAUCUAACAGCAAAACGGAGAAAAGCCUCGAGCUGAAGGACGCUGAGGAACACGGGAGAGGAAACCCAAACACAAAGAGGGGAGGAAAAGGAUGAGAAAACAAAAGUGUCAUGACAAACCAAAGGAAAGGGAGGGCUGUCUGACACACAAGAGGAAGAUGAAGAGGAUGAGGAGGAUGGAGUCUGCUCUGGAGUCAGCCUGACAUGGGAGGGAGCAUCGUCGCUUCAUCCCAACAGAACAUUAAAAUAUUUAUAUAUAUAUGUCAACUACAAAACUAAAACUUCUUCAUAAGAACCAGAAAAAAGCUGCAACACUUUAAACCUUAACAAAAUAAUUGCAUUUACUAGUGUUUUAAAUAUUUAAAAAUAAACAUUUAUUCUCAUUUUUCUACCAAGCCUCGUAACAUUUCCAGCAUUUUCUCAUCAAAAUCUCACUGAUUUCCUUUUACUUUCCCGAUAAAUAAAGAAUAAUCUUUUUGCUCGUGGUGGUAAACAACAGAAAAUCCAGACAUUUUCAGUGCAGUGUUGAUCUUCCAACAGCAAAAACAGGAUGUUGAUUUUAAAUGAGCGACUACAAUCAGUCCAAUAACCCAUCAGUCUGCCAUCAGUGCAAUCAGGGAGAGGUAUUUUUGGUGCAGUGAAAUAUGAAAGAGAAAAAAAAA